rnacentral:lncRNA from 10 species
AUUCCUAAUUUCUUCACCUUUUACUGAAAAGAGCUGGGUGUAUGUGAUACUCAUUUGCUUGUGCUGGUUUUAAAAAUCAUCCAUUUCCUACUUUUUUCUCCUCUUUUAAAGACUGAAGCAGUUGCAUCUUACUCUGUGUUUGCUCUUCAAUUAUGGUUAUUUAUUUAUUUGAAAACCCUUAGAUGCAGAUCAUCACCAAUGGUGUUUUUGGGGAGAUGAUGUCUUGAGUAGAGGAAGGAGUACACUGGGAUGAAGACCUUGAAGUUACAGAAGUAUCAAGGAGAAAAAAAAUUUGAGAGACAACUAGGAGAGCAUAGUACUGAGGCUCUGAUAGGGAGUGUCUCCUUGGGUGUUGAUUUCUUCCCUGACUGAAGUUUC